UAAGAAGGCUAAAUUACAGAAAACUUUCAUGUAAUAAUCCGCUUUUUCACUUUCCCCCCGUGACAUUUAAAAACCUAUACUUUGCCCCCUUGUAAAAUGAAAAAUGUUCACAGGAGGGUUACGGUGUGUAAAAUGACCAUUUUGCCCCUCGCCAUUUUCGUCUUCUUCCUCAUCUUCCUCAGCCGUCCCUUCGAUCGGCCGCGAUUCCCACCUUAAUCGGCCGCGAUUUCUCUCCAUUUUCUUCUCCACCUGCUCCCCUUCUCUUCCUGUACCCUCGCCGCCCCUCGAUUUCAGCGACAGUAGGGAGGAAACCGAGAUGGGUGUUGAUGGAGAGGUAGGCAAGGGCAACGAAGGCUAAGGCGAGGCGGCGGAUGACGGCGAAGGGGAUGUGGGCGAGGGCGAGGCAGUGGAGGACGGCGAGGCGGUUAGGUGGCGAGGCGGCGAGGCGGCAGCGAGGUGGCGAGCCGGAGAGAGGCGAAGCAACAGAGAAGAGGGCGGAGGGGUAUUUUCGGCAUAAAAAAUAUUUUAUAACGGAAUCCUAACGGCAGGGGAUGAAGUACACAUUUUUUAUUUUACAAGGAGGCAAAGUGUAGGUUUUUAAAUGUCAGAAAAAAAAAUGAAAAAACGAGUUAUUACAAGAGAGUUUUCUGUAAUUUAGCAUAUAUGAAUAAUAUU
rnacentral:lncRNA from 1 species